CUGACGUUAGCGGCGGACGGGUGAGUAACACGUGGAUAACCUACCUAUAAGACUGGGAUAACUUCGGGAAACCGGAGCUAAUACCGGAUAAUAUAUUGAACCGCAUGGUUCAAUAGUGAAAGACGGUUUUGCUGUCACUUAUAGAUGGAUCCGCGCCGCAUUAGCUAGUUGGUAAGGUAACGGCUUACCAAGGCAACGAUGCGUAGCCGACCUGAGAGGGUGAUCGGCCACACUGGAACUGAGACACGGUCCAGACUCCUACGGGAGGCAGCAGUAGGGAAUCUUCCGCAAUGGGCGAAAGCCUGACGGAGCAACGCCGCGUGAGUGAUGAAGGUCUUCGGAUCGUAAAACUCUGUUAUUAGGGAAGAACAAAUGUGUAAGUAACUAUGCACGUCUUGACGGUACCUAAUCAGAAAGCCACGGCUAACUACGUGCCAGCAGCCGCGGUAAUACGUAGGUGGCAAGCGUUAUCCGGAAUUAUUGGGCGUAAAGCGCGCGUA
rnacentral:rRNA from 1 species